rfam:Brachypodium distachyon strain Bd21 chromosome 4, whole genome shotgun sequence.
AAGUUACUCCCUCCGUCCAACAAAGGAUGUCUCAAGUUUGUCAAAAUUUAGAUGUAUCUAGACAUAACUUACUGUACAGAUGUAUUGAAAUUUAGUCAAAGUUAGACAUCCUUUGUUGGAAGGAGGGAGUACAAG